GACGAACGCUGGCGGCGUGCUUAACACAUGCAAGUCGAACGGAAAGGCCCUGCCUUUGUGGGGUGCUCGAGUGGCGAACGGGUGAGUAACACGUGAGUAACCUGCCCUUGACUUUGGGAUAACUUCAGGAAACUGCGGCUAAUACCGGAUAGGAGCUCCUGCUGCAUGGUGGGGGUUGGGAAGUUUCGGCGGUUGGGGAUGGACUCGCGGCUUAUCAGCUUGUUGGUGGGGUAGUGGCUUACCAAGGCGUUGACGGGUAGCCGGCCUGAGAGGGUGACCGGCCACACUGGGACUGAGAUACGGCCCAGACUCCUACGGGAGGCAGCAGUGGGGAAUAUUGCACAAUGGGCGGAAGCCUGAUGCAGCAACGCCGCGUGCGGGAUGACGGCCUUCGGGUUGUAAACCGCUUUCGGCAGGGACGAAGCGUGAGUGACGGUAAUUGGAAAAGAAGCACCGGCUAACUACGUG
rnacentral:rRNA from 1 species